UACGUAGGGGGCAAGCGUUGUCCGGAAUUACUGGGCGUAAAGCGCACGUAGGCGGAAUGUUAAGUCAGGGGUGAAAUCCCGGGGCUCAACCCCGGAACUGCCUUUGAUACUGGCAUUCUCGAGUCCGGAAGAGGUGAGUGGAAUUCCGAGUGUAGAGGUGAAAUUCGUAGAUAUUCGGAGGAACACCAGUGGCGAAGGCGGCUCACUGGUCCGGUACUGACGCUGAGGUGCGAAAGCGUGGGGAGCAAACAGG
rnacentral:rRNA from 1 species